AGUUGCCAGCUGACCGAUCGAUUGUUUGCUCGAGGUAGGUUUUUAAUCCUCCUUUUUACCUGGAAUAUUGUGCUAACUAAGUAGAAACUCAAAUGCCUCAUUUGUAACUUUAUAGAGCCGACUACCAGCGCCGGAGUCUCUCAUUAAGCUGUUGGCCAGGCUUUUCUUGUUUUGAUGGCGAGCUAAAGAAAGGAGCAUCUAGUCCAAGGAGUAUUCUUGGAGGAUUCCAGCCAGAAACCUCACCACCUGUUCGGUUUGGGCGGGAGGAACCAGACAAGGGCAGCCUGACGAGCUGCUGAUUGGACAUGUGACCUCAUCACACAUUUGAAAAGCCUGCUAACAGCCAAGGACGAACCAGCACCUCAACGAAGAUAAGGCGACAGCAGGCAGACAAAGCAGAGACAGGGCGCAAUCACAAGGCCCCCAGCACAUUUCCGUUGUGAAUAAUCAGGUAUUGUGCGUACUGAGCUGCCCGCAUAAUGUGUGACCCUUCCCUUUAGAAGCCAUGUAACUAGGG